GUUGAGCGUCAGAUCAGAGAAAGUAAUGGCUGUCUUACUGUCGGACAAUGGGGUGAGCUGGGCGAUAGAGGCGGAUGAGAGCGACUUAAUGCUGCGUGUAAUGCAUGUUAAUGUAACAAGCACCGAGGGAGCGCCGGUGGGAGUGCUCUGGGAUUAUUUAUCACAAAACAUUUGUAUUCUUCCGUCGAAGAACAGUUGAUCCCGGAUAGCUGCACACUAAUCCUUCACUCCGUUAAUUAAAAAGAAGGGGAAAGCAAUGGAACUGGUGGUGGGGAUUUUUUUCUUUUUCCAGAAAUGUAAUCAUUUCUGGAGAAGCUUAACCAUCUGCUUGAGGUUAAGUCUACAAGCAGAUUGUGUUUUCUGCUUAUUUAAACCUGGGGAUUUUUCCUGAAAAGGGGAGGGUGUUGCGUUUCGGGGGCUGCUUGUUGAAGAAACAGGUUGGAACUUUUGUGUUAUCAAAGAAGGUAAUGAUAGUGUUUAUACUGCAUCUUCUUCUAAAACUCACACUAAAAAAAUAUUGCAAUAUAAGUUUAAUUUAGAAGUAAACCAUGACCUUUGUUAAGGUCUUUUAAAUGCCAAACUGAACAGGAAUUAUUCAGUCUACAUCCAUAUCUUGAUGUUGCCAACAAGAUCAACGCUGCCCGGGGGCCAAGGCUCUGUCGUCAGUCCCAAGAAGAGACUUUCACAUUUCAAGCCACAGUUUUACAUUAGGAUGCUCCUCGUGUCUUCCUGGAGACAAACUCGACUUCACAAAGGCAUCCUUUAAUUCCCCUUACUCUCUCCUUCGCGCUUUCUGUCGUUCAUUGGUUAGAUUACAGAUUAGAUUUGAACAAACGCGUGUCGCACUGUAAAGGGCUGUCUUCUCUUACAUAUAAAAAUGAUAGCAGUGGCACUUUCAUCCAGUAGCGUCACUUAUAAUCUGACUUGAAAAUUUUUCCUCAGCAAACAUGCGCGACUUUUCUCCCCUCUUCAAAUGGUGUAAACACAUUACCUGGGAUGGUCGCCUAAUCCAAACGGUAAUAUCCGAUUAGAGAACAAGUGUGAUUAAGGCUUUAUGACAUUGCUUUUAUGUUGAUUAUGUUGAUACAUGUUCAGGUCUACUUAAGAGAAUUAAAAUCGUGUAAUGCGUAUUUUUAUGUGCUGUCCAUU